UNGUAGGUGGUGUGUCGCGUCGUCUGUGAAAUUCCGGGGCUUAACUCCGGGCGUGCAGGCGAUACGGGCACGACUAGAGUGCUGUAGGGGUAACUGGAAUUCCUGGUGUAGCGGUGAAAUGCGCAGAUAUCAGGAGGAACACCGAUGGCGAAGGCAGGUUACUGGGCAGUUACUGACGCUGAGGGGCGAAAGCAUGGGGAGCGAACAGGAUUAGAUACCCUGGUAGUCCAUGCUGUAAACGGUGGGCGCUAGGUGUGGGCUGUGUGUUUGCAGUCUGUGCCGUAGCUAACGCAUUAAGCGCCCCGCCUGGGGAGUACGGCCGCAAGGCUAAAACUCAAAGGAAUUGACGGGGGCCCGCACAAGCGGCGGAGCAUGUGGAUUAAUUCGAUGCAACGCGAAGAACCUUACCUGGGUUUGACAUGCACCAGAUCGGCGUAGAGAUACGUCCUCCCUUGUGGUUGGUGCACAGGUGGUGCAUGGUUGUCGUCAGCUCGUGUCGUGAGAUGUUGGGUUAAGUCCCGCAACGAGCGCAACCCUUGUCUUAUGUUGCCAGCACAACUUUGGUGGGGACUCAUGAGAAACUGCCGGGGUCAACUCGGAGGAAGGUGGGGAUGACGUCAAAUCGUCAUGCCCUUUAUACCCAGGGCUUCACACAUGCUACAAUGGUCGGUACAACGGGUUGCGACACUGUGAAGUGAAGCUAAUCUCUGAAAGCCGGCCUCAGUUCGGAUUGGGGUCUGCAACUCGACCCCAUGAAGUCGGAGUCGCUAGUAAUCGCAGAUCAGCAACGCUGCGGUGAAUACGUUCCCGGGCCUUGUACACAC
rnacentral:rRNA from 1 species